AUACGUGGGAGCAUGUGAUCGAGAUGGGUCUCAGGGCGGUGUUCGUGAACAGCUGGUGAAAUGGGACGCUAAGCUCCAGGAAGAUCUCGACAAGAUGCUCAAGAAGGCCGAGGCUGCCAAUGUGUGCCGCUACUUCGAGGAUGUCAAGUUCAUCAAAGGAAAAGGCAUAUUGGACCGUCGAAGAUGUGGCUCUCUGGUAUUGAUAGCUUCCACGAAUUCAUCUCUGUUUGUCUUCGCCGGUCGUGGGGAUGGUGGGUUCUUGCGAUAGAGACAGAGAGAUGGGGGAUGUUUUCUUUGAAGAUGUGAAAGUUUUGAUCUUUUUUCUAUAGACAUGGUGGUCUCCUCUUGCGUCGGGGGGAAAGUUCAUUUGUUAAUAUGUUGGGAGUCAAUUUCAUCUGUCAAUGAAUGUAAUUUUAAUGGAGACAUGCUUUUUUAAUCAAGUUCUUGUUUCUAUUCCUAAACUUCUUUACAUGGAAAGGAGUUGAAUGUGAGGAGGCAAAUCUGAUGACAAGAAAUUA